rnacentral:rRNA from 1 species
CCUACGGGGAGCAGCAGUGGGGAAUAUUGGACAAUGGGCGAAAGCCUGAUCCAGCCAUGCCGCGUGUGUGAAGAAGGCCUUCGGGUUGUAAAGCACUUUCAGUGGGGAAGAAAGCCUUGGGGCUAAUACCCUCGAGGAAGGACAUCACCCACAGAAGAAGCACCGGCUAACUCCGUGCCAGCAGCCGCGGUAAUACGGAGGGUGCGAGCGUUAAUCGGAAUUACUGGGCGUAAAGCGCGCGUAGGCGGUCUGAUAAGCCGGUUGUGAAAGCCCCGGGCUCAACCUGGGAACGGCAUCCGGAACUGUCAGGCUAGAGUGCAGGAGAGGAAGGUAGAAUUCCCGGUGUAGCGGUGAAAUGCGUAGAGAUCGGGAGGAAUACCAGUGGCGAAGGCGGCCUUCUGGACUGACACUGACGCUGAGGUGCGAAAGCGUGGGUAGCAAACAGGAUUAGAUACCCGUGUAGUC